rnacentral:rRNA from 1 species
GUUAAAUUUUGGGUGGAGUUCCGCAACGAGAGCAACCCUUAUCCUUUGAUGCCAACGCUUAUGUUGGGAACUCAAAGGAGACUGCCAGUGAUAAAAUGGAGGAAGGUGGGGAAGAUGUCAAGUCGUCAUGGCCCAGGUGACCAGGGCUACUCCCGUGCUACAAUGGCGCAUACAAAGAGAAGCGACCUUGCGAGAGCAAGCGGACGUCAUAAAGUGCGUUGUAGUCCGGAAUGGAGUUUGCAACUAGAGUCCAUGAAGUCGGAAUCGCUAGUAAUCGUGGAUCAGAAUGGCACGGUGAAUACGUUUGACGGGCCUUGUACACACCUCCCGUCACACCAUGCGAGUGGGUUGCAAAAUCUC